GAAGUGAAGUGACAUAGAUACAUUUUGU
rnacentral:sRNA from 1 species